CAGCAAGCCAGGAAGGAGGCUGGCAGAGCUCCCUGCAGCAGACCAGACCAUUCAGCACAGCUUUUGCAAGUUGCCGUGCACUGAGUUGACACUUUCAGCGAGCUGUCUACCACUACCCCAAGAUCUCCCUCCUGGAUUGCUUUUACCUGAAAUAAAGUUCUCCAUCCUCAAACUGCUAGAGGAAAAAAUUCCCACUGAAAAUACUGGAGCAAGAUGAAUUUACAUCCCAAGAAGAUUUGGCCUUUAAAUUUAAGUGAUGAACACAAUUACACCUUUGGCUCAACUCCUAAUCCAGCAUCCAGAUGGCUCAAUUAGUAAUAUUGUAAAGGAUUCUUUCAUUAUUUAUGCUGAUUCAAAUGUACCUAAGUGGUUUUUAACAAUUGCAUUUACCCCACUAUGGGGAGGGAA